GUGAGGAAUUUUCCGCAAUGGGCGAAAGCCUGACGGAGCAAUGCCGCGUGAAGGAUGAAGGCCUAUGGGUUGUAAACUUCUUUUCUCAGAAAAGAAUUAUGACGGUAUCUGAGGAAUAAGCAUCGGCUAACUCUGUGCCAGCAGCCGCGGUAAGACAGAGGAUGCAAGCGUUAUCCGGAAUGAUUGGGCGUAAAGCGUCUGUAGGUUGUUUAAUAAGUAUUAUGUCAAAGAUUAGGGCUUAACCCUAGAUAGGCAGAAGAAACUUUUAAGCUAGAGUUUGGUAGAGGCAGAGGGAAUUCCCGGUGGAGCGGUGAAAUUCGUAGAUAUCGGGAGGAACACCAAAGGCGAAAGCACUCUGCUGGGCCAAUACUAACACUGAGAGACGAAAGCGAGGGGAGCAAAUGGGAUUAGAAACCCCAGUAGUCC
rnacentral:rRNA from 1 species